AAAGCGUGCGCAGGCGGUUUUGUAAGACAGUCGUGAAAUCCCCGGGCUCAACCUGGGAAUUGCGAUUGUGACUGCAAGGCUGGAGUGCGGCAGAGGGGGAUGGAAUUCCGCGUGUAGCAGUGAAAUGCGUAGAUAUGCGGAGGAACACCGAUGGCGAAGGCAAUCCCCUGGGCCUGCACUGACGCUCAUGCACGAAAGCGUGGGGAGCAAACAGGAUUAGAUACCCGGGU
rnacentral:rRNA from 1 species